rnacentral:tRNA from 1 species
GUGGAUAUAGUUCAAUGGAUAAAGCGAUUGCUUAGCAUGCCCAAGGCCCUGGGUUCGAUCUCCAGUGUGUCAUA